CAGAUAUUCAAGGAAAUGAAACUCUGUGAUCUCAUAACGGAAGCACCAAAACUAUGAACUAAUGAAACAUUUAUUCACCUACAGAAUGCCUCAGGUCUGGAUAGAAGAACCACUUCUAAUCAUUUCUGAGGAGCUGGAAAGAAAACCUCCCUUGAAUUAAAACUAAAAAGAGAGAAAGCUGGCAAAGAGUUAGGGAUAUAAGCUCUCAGUUGUUCAUUCACUCUAUCAUCAUGGAUUUUGACCCUCUUAAACUGUAUAUCAAAUGAAAUGUUUCCUUUGGCAUGGAUGGGUUCCCUCCUCUGGCGCAGAUCUGGAAUCCAAUCAGAGACCUGUUGCUUGCUCAUCUUGUGGUGGUUAACCAUUCUACAACUAAACACACUUAUGUUGACAGGCAGUGGCUUUAUUCUUUGAAGGCAGACAGCUAGCAGAGUUAAGUCUGUUUUCCAAAACAACCUGUGAGCAAAUAAAAGCAGAGGCUUGCAGCAGCAGGCAGGCAGGCAGAGAAUCUUGAUGCUGCAACAAUGAAGACAGUCCAGCCAUCUUGCUCUCUGACCAGAGAACAACUGAACGUACCUCCCUUGCAUGAAGGAGCUGCAGCCACAGACAGAUUUCAAGCCUUGCCUGUGAGCCUCUCAGCUGCUUGCUUCUGAGUCAGGUACUGCAUGCAUGUGUUGUGGACUCAUGCUUGCCAUUGUAGUGAAUAAACCUUAAGAUCAAAUGGU